GACUGCAUGGGGAGGUGGCCGAGCAGCCGCAAACCAACUUGGCCUUCAGUCUAGGAGGACUGCAGGGUGGUGGAGAAGAGGAUCGAGGACUUCACUGAGUCACUCUUCAUCAUGCUCAAGUCCAAGUGGCUGGACGGGGCCCCCGACAAGUGUGAGUACAAGAUCCCACUCCUGUACAUCCCGUUUGAGAAGGAGGACUUCUUGGGGCUGGACACAGACAGCAGGGCCCUGUGAUCUACACGCCCGCACUCCCCUUCUGCACCUUGUAGAUGAGCUGGCAUGUUUAGUGGCCUGGGCAAAGCUGAGGGCACAGCUGUCAGCACCGGGCCACUCACAGGCUGGCUCCAUUCACCUCACCUGUCACCUCCUGCUGAGCCUCAGGCAUUAGUCAAGGUAGGUGCUUUGGUGCAACGUAAGCAGGCACCACCUUCUCCCCCUGGACAGACUGGUGGGUGAGCAUUGGAAGCCUGGAUCCCUGCCACAGCCCCCUGGCCAGUGCCUCCUCUUUUGUCAUAGGAUGCACUGGUGACAUUUUUGCUCAGCAACUGCUUGGCUCUGAGUCUGCAGACCCACCAGAGUAUGCCAGCUUGUUUUUGCCUUUUGAAGUCUGUCCUUGGGAUUUGGCGAAGUAGCUGGAUGUGUGCUUAGCCCAUAGUGGUUGACACUGUCACCAUUGUUUGCCCAGAACCUUGUGUACCAGACAUGGCUCUCGGCAUCAAAAUACAGCAGCGCAUUAAACCUC